rnacentral:tRNA from 1 species
AAAAUUUUAGUUUAAUAAAAAUAUUUUAUUUACAAUAAAAAGAUUUAUAUUUUU